GACGUAGGGGGCCAGCGUUGCUCGGAAUUACUGGGCGUAAAGGGUCCGUAGGCGGUGCGGUAAGUCGGGAGUGAAAUCUCUGGGCUUAACUCAGAGGCUGCUUCCGAAACUACCGUGCUAGAGUGCGAGAGAGGCAAGUGGAAUUGCGGGUGUAGCGGUGAAAUGCGUAGAUAUCCGCAGAAACAUCCGAGGCGAAAGCGGCUUGCUGGAUCGCAACUGACGCUGAGGGACGAAAGCUAGGGGAGCAAACAGG
rnacentral:rRNA from 1 species